rnacentral:tRNA from 1 species
GGUUUCCUGGCCGAGCGGUUAGGCACAGCUCUGCAAAAGCUGCUACAGCGGUUCGAAUCCGCUGGAAACCU